AGACUAGGGGGUGGGGGGCAGAUCCUAGUCUCAGGGGAGGAUGGAGCAGGGCUGUGAGCAUAGAGAGGCCAGUGAAGGGCCUACAUGGUAUGCUGAAGGAGUCUAACAAGGGCAAGGUCAGCAUUUGAGAGCCAGGCCUCCUUGAAGUUGGGGCCCUGGUGCCUCCCUUUUGCCCCACCCCAGUCCAGCCGGGGUGGCAGGCCCCUCCCUGCAGCUCCCACAGUGGCAUCCUGGAGCUCGAAGGUCCCUCUCUGAGCUCCAAGCUCGCUGCUAACAUCACCCCUGCUGCUGAGCAAGUGCAGGGAGUGUGCUCAUCUCCAUCUUGCAGGUGAGGAGAGUCCGGCUCACAGCUUCACGCAGCCAAGCAGUAAGCGGCGGAGCUGCAGUUAAGCCUGGAGCUCAGAGCACGGGAGCACAGGCCACGCCCAACACAAGAAGGCUUGCGAGCAGCUGCAGUAGCGGGACCCUGGCUCCCAGGCCACGGAGACCCAUUUGAGCCUCCAUUUCCUUGCCUGCCAGCCCAGCACAAGCAACAGUGUCUCCUCUGGGCCUUGUUAGGAGACUCAGAUGAUACCAUGGAGCAAAGCGCCAGUCCACACUGGUGCUCGGUGAGAGGUGCUUGUUUGUCCUGCUGCACAGUGGCCACUUCCAGGACCAACUCGGCCAGGGAAGGAGCGAGGCAGAGCCGGAGCAGUGACUUCAGAGCCUGCUGCGUUUUCACAGCAGGUGCAGCCUAAUUCUUGAGCUGGACUAGGCAUGGAGCCAGAGCUGAUGGGGGUUCAGCCACUGCCUUCCCCACCUUCCUUUAGGGAUGGAGAACCUGGGAAACCCCUACUGUAACCUCUGUCUCACCCCUCCAGGGAGUAAAGGGUCCCAGGGAAAAGUGACUCUUGCCACCUGCCUUGGCCACUGCACUUUUUCCUGUACUUCUCUCUUUUCUGGCCCAUGUCUCCCUCCUGGGACGUAGUACAUGUUCAAUAAAUGGUACCCAAUGUGUG